GUGCGCAUGCGCGGGGCUCAGCUGGCGGCGGUGCGCAUCCCUGCCGUGCGUGCAUCCCCGCUCCGGGACGUCGUGUUGCUGCUUGCCAAAUUGCGGCCGGGUGGUGGAGCCCCUGACCUCGUUAUCUGUCCUAGGAAGGCUGCAGCCGAAGCCGGGCAAGGAGCCCCAGGAUGCAGCAGAUUGCUGCCAAGACAGACGUGCCUGCGAGCAUCGUUUAUCCAUUGGAACGCGAGGGGCUGAGAAUGCUGCAUCUUUGGUUGAGUGUUAAAAAAAUAGCAGUUUGGUUUGAGAAGGGCUUGUUGCAAACAUCCGUGAGUUUCAGAGGUCCCAGAAGGGAGCAGAGCUCUGCCUGCUGCACCUCUGUUGGCGGGAGGAUGCAGAGAGCUUGGGGUGCCCAGGGAGCCACGGGUCUGCAGGGCUCACCGUGCCAAUAAGCAGUGUGCUGUGUGGCUCAGAGAAGAGCCAGGGAGGACUCAGCAGAACCCCGGCAAAGUGGAGCCCGGGGUACCUCGGGUAUGUCCUGAGAGCAUGGGGGCACCAGCACUGCAUCCGCUGCUGUGGGGCUGUGCUGGGUGCACAGGGGCUCCCUGGGGAAGGAGUAAAUGUGCUGCAGUGGGAGUUGGGGGGGGAGGGCCAGCAGGGAAAUGUGGGUGAGCAGAGAGCCUCAGUGCAGGGAUGGGAUGGGGAAGGAACUUCCUCAAGGUGCUCGAGUCUCAAAUGCUUGCCCCAGUGUCCAGAGAAUGGGGGCUUGCAGGUAGAGAAGGCUGUGCUGCUCAUGUGCUCCUGUGUGCUCUGCUUUACUACUCGGUGUUCAGCCGAGGAUGUAUUCAGCUAGCAAAGAAAUACUGCCCUCUUCUGAAAAGGUGUUCCUGUGCUGCUGCAAGGCUGCCAGCCCCUGCCGUGGUAUCAAUGCAGCUCUUAAGGGCACUGAGCACGGAGGGCUCCUCACUCGCUGGCAGCACUGGGUGCAUGGGGCUUUUCCAGGUGUGCUGGCAGCAGAGCAGGCAGCUGCCCUGUGUGCAUGGCCAGAGCCUGCCCAUGUCUUGCAGCAAACAAGAUGUGGGCAGGGUGCUGCUGGCCUGCUGCAUGCUUCUAUCCCCUCUGCUACCUGCAGCCGGCACAGCUGGAGCACACCUUGGUCCUGCUUUGGCUCCUCCAUGAGGGAAUGUAAUAACGUUUAAAUAGCUUAGAAAAGUCACCCUCUCUGCUUUUUCUGCAGAGGACAGGCAGAGCAGGGUGGGAAGCUUGGAACAGAGGACAUGCCUGCAUCCUGCCAGACCCACGGUGUCCAAAAGCCCUUGCUAUAUCAAAGGCUAUAUCCAGCAGCAAUUCAGGGAGUGACACUGCAGUGAUUGCCUGACCCAUCCUUUGUGGCCCUAACCCACCUGACCCCAUAGCGGCCUGCCUAUGGCACCUAUAGCACCUCCAUAGCAAAGCAUUGACCUCCUCACCUCAGUCCUGGUUGUACAAAGCUUCCAGCUGCUGCAAGGCAGCAGUUAGAGGGCACGUUUUUCCGAGAGCUGAGCCCUCAGCCUCUGGGUGCCUUUCCCAAAGGACUCAGUCCUUUGGUCCCGACAGCUGUAGCCCAUGCAGUUUAUGCCUUGAGGGGCUUAAAUGUUUAAAAUUUGAGUCUGGAAAGUGAAAUAAAGACAUUACUAGAAAAUGCCAGGCUGUAGCAGCCUCAAAGCAUGCAGAGGCCAAGCUGCUGUGGGGCUUUGUGGCAUCACUCCUGCCCACAGGCCUGGUGGUCUGUCCCUUCCAGAGGGAUACCUGGGGGUGAUUUUUUUGGAUACCUGGAUACCACCAAUGCCCAAAGAACUGAGACUUCCUAACCUCUCUUCCAUGGGGUAACAUCCUCUUUGAAGGCAGGAUGAUGCAUUACCAGUGCUGCUUGGGUGUUGGUAUUGCUGCUCCAAGUGGCAGCAAAGCAGCCCCUGCCCUUGACACUGAGGUGCUAAUGAUGCCCCUCUCCACCUGCAGCAGCAAUCAAGGCCUGGAAAGGCCAACGCUGGGACACUGCAACCCGAGUCUGCUCAGCAGAGGGCAGGAUGAACCUGAAGGAUAGCCCUAACGAAGUGGCGUUCAGUGUGACAACACAGUACCAGGACGUGUGCUGCUGCGAGGCCACUGUGUGCCUGUGGAGCUGGGAUGGCAUGGUGGGGAGCUCCGACAUCGAUGGCACCAUCACCAAGUAAAGGGCCCUUCUCCUUCCCUUUGGCUUUGCUUCACCCAUUAGGGGUAAAGUGUUCUUUCAAGGCAGCCUGGAAGGAUGUCGUACUCCGUGACCUUCUGGAUGCCCACCAGGCUGGAUCAGCCCCACUUGAUCUCCUUUCCUUUUAGGUCCGAUGCUCUUGGGCACAUCUUACCGCAUCUGGGAAAAGCCUGGACUCAUCGUGGCAUUGCUAAGCUCUUCCACAACAUCCACCUGUAAGCGUCAGCUCAGCUAGGACCCCAAAGGGAAAUGGGAGGUUGAUAGAGAGGCUGAGCAGGAGCUGGCAUGGGGGCUCCUGACUCACAGAUGCUGGAUAACACAGCCUUAACUUUCUGCUGUCAGCGAUGGCUGAGUCUUGCUGUGCUGCCUGGGAUGCUGGGGGCACAUGGCAGGGGUUUUUCACAUGCAGCACUGUUGCAAACUCUGGCAUGAGUAGUUUAAGUGACCCUCGGUCCUCUUGUUGCAAUCCACGCGAGAGGGAGCACAGUAGCAGAAGCAGUGGGUCCUUUCCCCUUGGCUGUGUGAUGCUCCCAGCCUCUCUGGCCGCUGAGAGGCACUGUGGGCCCGCAGAUGGCUCAUCCCCACCUCAGCUGGUUCUCCCCAUCUCCUGUCUUAUAAGAGCUCUGUGCACCCCAACCUGAGCCGGGGGCCGAGCAGGGAGCUGUGCCCAGCUCACCUUGCUGCUGGUGGGGGUGCUGCUCCCUGGGUCUCUCAGCAGCAAGGCAGAACAAGCAGGAAGGCUCCCCUACGUUCUCAGGAAUGGCUACAAGCUCCUCUAAUUCUCAGCCUGUGCAAUCUGCAUGGCACACAUCACCAAGGGCCACCCCAAGGGGAUGAAGGAGCAGGGCUGUGCCCUCCCCAGGAGCCCCAGCCUCUUCUCUGCCUCCCACAGGUACAGUCCUCUCCCAUCACUGCCCUGCACCCAGGGGAUGGCAUUCCCCUCCCUGCUGCUACACUGGGGGAUGCUGCAGCCUUAAAUUUGCCUUCCUUGGUCCAGGACGCCUUCCUGGGAGGCAGCAGGGCAUAACUUGUCUUCCUUAGAGCUUCACGGUGAAGCUCUCGCAGUGCACAAAAUCUCUUCUGCUUUCCAAGUAUCUACUCUGAGCCCCCAGGCUGCCUGGCUGCGUGUAGUCCAGCCUGCAUUCUGUCCUCUCACCUCUCACAGCCUUGGGAUGCAUGGUGGUGAUACCUCCCUGCAGCUCUCAUGCCUUCCGGCCCUCCAUGUCAGGAUGUCAGUGCUUACAAGCAGGUGGGUCUGCCUGAGAGCUGCAUCUUCACAUAGCCAACCCCAAGGGAGAGACGAUCCAGGAGCUGAUGAAGAAUCUCAGGUCAAUAUAAGUGAUUAUGUUACCUCUUAUAGGUACGAGCAGAUAGUGGAGGUGAUGGAGCUGAUCUUCCCUCCCCUUGGGAAGGAGGGCAGCAUGGCUCUGCUGUGCCCUGAGUGCAGCCACUUCACCUACUGGAGACCCCCCCCCCCUGCCUGCCAUUGACUUGAAAGCCUUCUCCUGACCCCAGCACCUAUGAGGACUGCCCCAGGACUCCCUGCGAGUCCUGCCAGGACCGGGUGCUCCUCAUUUGGUGCUCAGCCAUUUUGUCCUGCUAACACACAUCACAUUCUGCACUAAGGCAGCUCUUCUCACAGCACAAAGGGAGCCGUAAAAAGAGCUCUGAGUACCGAAAACUUCCUGUACUUCUCUGAGCCAAGAGUCUUUAUGUUCUUCAUCUUUAAACCUGGCUAUCUUUUAAAGGUGAUGAUGGGUCACCCUUAUUUAUAGAUGAGCCUCUGGCAGCCCAGCACUGCUGUGUGGUGCAGCUGCUGGGGUGAAGCUGUCCCGUGGCUUAACUUGUAAAGCUGGAUGGAAGCUGCUGGGCUUUGAGCAUUUUUCACUCGCAGCAAUAAUUAAUAGACAGUGCUUCAAUCCAGGCUGCCUCUUGUCCACUGCAGCCCCAUGCAGUACAAGGCAGCAGCGCUGCUGGGCUCCUUCCUCUGCUCCGCAUCCAGCUUUUCCUUCUCUGAUGCUCUGUGAGUGUGAACCACUUCCUGCUACUCUGAUUCCCUCUCUUCCUGUCUAAAUAGCCUCAGUGUUUAACUUGAGCUCCCUGCCUUAACACAAGCCGGGUGUUGUGCUUCUCUCUUUUUUUUUCCCUAAAGCCACAGAAGUCAUUUUGAUACUGGAAACCUCAGCAAGAAGUAUUUUAUUUUUCCUUUCCAGUACAAACAGUCUUUCAGCUUUUAACGUCUGAACAAUGUACAAGGUUUCAAAAACAAUAAAACACAGCCUUUUACCAGUA